GAUGAACGCUGGCGGCGUGCCUAAUACAUGCAAGUCGAACGCUUCACUUCGGUGGAGAGUGGCGAACGGGUGAGUAAUACAUAAGUAACCUGGCAUCUACAGGGGGGUGACUGAUGGAAACGUCAGCUAAGACCGCAUAGGGGUAGAGAUCGCAUGAUCUCUAUAUGAAACGUGCUACGGGACUGGUAGAUGGUGGACUUAUGGCGCAUUAGCUUGUUGGUAGGGUAACGGCCUACCAAGGCGACGAUGCGUAGCCGACCUGAGAGGGUGACCGGCCACACUGGGACUGAGACACGGCCCAGACUCCUACGGGAGGCAGCAGUAGGGAAUUUUCGGCAAUGGGGGAAACCCUGACCGAGCAACGCCGCGUGAAGGAAGAAGUAAUUCGUUAUGUAAACUUCUGUCAUAGAGGAAGAACGGUGGAUAUAGGGAAUGAUAUCCAAGUGACGGUACUCUAUAAGAAAGCAACGGCUAGCUACGUG
rnacentral:rRNA from 1 species